rnacentral:rRNA from 1 species
GACGAACGCUGGCGGCGUGCUUAACACAUGCAAGUCGAACGGAAAGGCCCUGCUUUUGUGGGGUGCUCGAGUAGCGAACGGGUGAGUAACACGUGAGUAACCUGCCCUUGACUUUGGGAUAACUUCAGGAAACUGGGGCUAAUACCGGAUAGGAGCUCCUGCUGCAUGGUGGGGGUUGGAAAGUUUCGGCGGUUGGGGAUGGACUCGCGGCUUAUCAGCUUGUUGGUGGGGUAGUGGCUUACCAAGGCUUUGACGGGUAGCCGGCCUGAGAGGGUGACCGGGCACAUUGGGACUGAGGUACGGCCCAGACUCCUACGGGAGGCAGCCGUGGGGAAUAUUGCACAAUGGGCGGAAGCCUGAUGCAGCAACGCCGCGUGCGGGAUGACGGCCUUCGGGUUGUAAACCGCUUUCGCCUGUGACGAAGCGUGAGUGACGGUAAUGGGUAAAGAAGCACCGGCUAACUACGUG